GAUGAACGCUGGCGGCGUGCCUAAUACAUGCAAGUCGAGCGAACGGACGAGAAGCUUGCUUCUCUGAUGUUAGCGGCGGACGGGUGAGUAACACGUGUAUAACCUACCUAUAAGACUGGGAUAACUUCGGGAAACCGGAGCUAAUACCGGAUAAUAUUUUGAACCGCAUGGUUCAAAAGUGAAAGACGGUCUUGCUGUCACUUAUAGAUGGAUCCGCGCUGCAUUAGCUAGUUGGUAAGGUAACGGCUUACCAAGGCAACGAUGCAUAGCCGACCUGAGAGGGUGAUCGGCCACACUGGAACGGAGACACGGUCCAGACUCCUACGGGAGGCAGCAGUAGGGAAUCUUCCGCAAUGGGCGAAAGCCUGACGGAGCAACGCCGCGUGAGUGAUGAAGGUCUUCGGAUCGUAAAACUCUGUUAUUAGGGAAAAACAUAUGUGUAAGUAACUGUGCACAGCUUGACGGUACCUAAUCAGAAAGCCACGGCUAACUACGUG
rnacentral:rRNA from 1 species